rnacentral:tRNA from 1 species
UCCCUUCUGGCUCAGUUGGUAAAGAAUCUGCCUGCAAGGCAGGAGACCUGGGUUCAAUCCCUGGGUUAGGAA